AGGAUCAUUAAAAAAUCCGGUGAGGCCACCUGGCACACAUCGUAUUCAUUCACUCUGAGUAUCUUUCCUGUUGCUUCCGUGAGGUUUGGUGAGUCACGCGCUCUGCCUUGUUUUCUGGGUUGGAUCUUAGAGAAUGCCCUGCGGAAGGGAAGCACCGCAACGCCUUUGAAUACUAAUUGAUAUUGGUCUGAUCUUGUUUUGAAGAAACAUUAAAACUUUCAGCAACGGAUCUCUUGGUUCUCGCAUCGAUGAAGAACGCAGCGAAAUGCGAAAAGUAGUGUGAAUUGCAGAAUUCAGUGAAUCAUCGAAUCUUUGAACGCACAUUGCGCCUCGCGGUAUUCCGCGAGGCAUGCCUGUUCGAGCGUCGUUAACAACCCUUCAAGCCUUCAUUGCUUGGUUGUGGUGGAUGAGAACCCCAGGGCCCCAAGGUAUCUCACCUCCCAAACUCAAUGGCUCACUCAAAAGCCGAGCUGCACAGUGGUCGUAGGUGAUUAGCACAGAUCCUCCUCAGUGCCCGGUGAAAGUGUAGCCCAUCAAUGCCAGGUAGUUUUAUUACAGUUUGACCUCGGAUCAGGUAGGGAUACCCGCUGAACUUAAGCAUAUCAAUAAG
rnacentral:rRNA from 1 species